rnacentral:rRNA from 1 species
CCCUUAGAUGUUCUGGGCUGCACGCGCGCUACACUGAUGCAUUCAACGAGCCUAUCCUUGACCGACAGGUCCGGGUAAUCUUUGAAUCUGCAUCGUGACGGGGAUAGAUUAUUGCAAUUAUUAAUCUUCAACGAGGAAUGCCUAGUAGGCGCAAGUCAUCAGCUUGCGUCGAUUACGUCCCUGCCCUUUGUACACACCGCCCGUCGCUCCUACCGAUUGGGUGUGCUGGUGAAAUGUUCGGAUCGGCCGUUUGUCGCGGUUUCCGCGUCAUGUGGCUGAGAAGUUCAUUAAACCCGCCCACCUAGAGGAAGGAGAAGUCGUAACA